CAGGGAGACAACAAAAUGUUUAAUAUUAUUAUUUUGUCACCUUAGGUCGAUCGGUAUCUCACGUUUUUAAUUUAUUAAAAAUUUCAUUUCCUAAGUUUUUCUAGGUCACACCCAAAUUUUUCCUGGGCCAUUAGCUCAGGUGGUUAGAGCGCACCCCUGAUAAGGGUGAGGUCCCUGGUUCAAGUCCAGGAUGGCCCAUAUCUCUAUGUUGGGGGUAUAGCUCAGUUGGUAGAGCGCCUGCUUUGCAAGCAGGAUGUCAGCGGUUCGAGUCCGCUUACCUCCACUGAUUACCACCUCUUCCAUAACCGGUAAGAAGGAAAUGUUUCGAGUUGUGAUCAAAUUCUGAAAGAAUCUAGCUUCCUAAUGAAAUCAUUAAGAUGCUGGACUCAUUGAAUUAAUUUCAUUGUUUUCAGAGAACCUUGACAACUGCAUAGAUUAUUUUUAAAGACAAUAAGCAUCUUUAAUGAUGCGGAUUUAUUAUUGAUGCUAAUGCAUUAAUAACAAUUCUAUUAAGCUGAUGCUUCAAUUAUUGAAGUUAUU
rnacentral:tRNA from 1 species